ACAGAGGGUGCAAACGUUGUUCGGAAUUACUGGGCGUAAAGCGCGUGUAGGCUGCUCGGAUAGUCGGAUGUGAAAGCCCUGGGCUCAACCCAGGAAGAGCACUCGAUACUACCGAGCUUGAGUUCUGGAGAGGAAGGCGGAAUUCUCGGUGUAGAGGUGAAAUUCGUAGAUAUCGAGAGGAACACCGGUGGCGAAGGCGGCCUUCUGGACAGUGACUGACGCUGAGACGCGAAAGCGUGGGGAGCAAACAGGA
rnacentral:rRNA from 1 species